rnacentral:rRNA from 1 species
GACGAACGCUGGCGGCGCGCCUAAUGCAUGCAAGUCGAGCGACGCAUGCUCGGUGGGUAACCACUCGGGUAUGACGGAGCGGCAACGGGUGAGUAACACGUGAGUAACCUGCCCCGAAGAUCGGGAUAGCCCGGGAAACCCGGAUUAAUACCGAAUACCCUCUCUGGAUCGCAUGGUCCGGUGAGGAAAUGCCUUUGUGCUUCGGGAUGGACUCGCGGCCUAUCAGCUAGUUGGUGAGGUAACGGCUCACCAAGGCAACGACGGGUAGCUGGUUUGAGUGGACGAUCAGCCACACUGGGACUGAGACACGGCCCAGACUCCGUACGGGAGGCAGCAGUGGGGAAUAUUGCGCAAGUGGGCGAAAGCCUGACGCAGCGACGCCGCGUGGAGGAUGAAGGCCGUUCGGGUUGUAAACCUCUUUCAGUGGGGAAGAAGCGCAAGUGACGGUACCCACACAAGAAGGCCCGGCCAACUACGUG